CAUAGUCUAACUCUUGGAAGAUGAAAGGCCAUGUAGAAAAGAACCAAGAAACCCCAGUUAUCAGCCUGAACUGCUAUACAGGUCUGUCAGAAUAACUCGAAUCCUCAAGCUCUAAUCUAGUACUGAAUGACCCCCACAGUAUGAACAAUACCAGCAGAAAAAGUGCCCCAACUGUCAACCUACAGAAUAAAGAGAAAUGCCAAAAGUAACCUUGGAAAAAACAAGCACAUACCUGAAUAUAAUGGCGAAGAACAUACAGAAUUUCCUCAUUUUGAGCUUUUGCAGACAAUACUUUGUGAAAUGCACUAAAUGUUCUAGUACCCAUUUCGGCAUAGAGAAUCACCACUGGGAGAAGAUGGACCCACAAGAAUUCUACACAGGCAGUGGGUAUGGAUCACAUCUAACGAACACUGAGUGUGGGAAACCCAUCAUUUAAUAACAAGCAGAACUUCCUCUUCCAGAAGCUAUGUGUCAGUCAACAUCCCACCCAUAGCAGUCUCCAAAACUAUCAAGAACUGCAAAAAUCUAAGGUGUGCUUCUUAUGGAUAACCACAAAUGCAUUACAACCAUCUGGUGGUGGCUCAUCAGCUGCAAUCUAAGAUUUCAAAGAUUAUAUUUAGCUACAGUAGUUGAUAAUUACAAAACAAUUUUAAAACCCUCACACAUUACUUUGAUUAAAGUAACUCAUCAACUACUAUUAAGUUAUUGCUCCAAUUAAAGUGAAAAACAUCUAUAUGUAUGCAGAAUCUAAGAAAUAUUUUAAUAAAAUCAACUUUAUCCUAGGAAA